CCUACGGGAGGCAGCAGUGGGGAAUAUUGGACAAUGGGGGGAACCCUGAUCCAGCCAUGCCGCGUGUGUGAAGAAGGCCCUCGGGUUGUAAAGCACUUUCAGUGAGGAAGAACGCCUGGUGGUUAAUACCCAUCAGGAAAGACAUCACUCACAGAAGAAGCACCGGCUAACUCCGUGCCAGCAGCCGCGGUAAUACGGAGGGUGCGAGCGUUAAUCGGAAUUACUGGGCGUAAAGCGCGCGUAGGUGGCUUGAUAAGCCGGUUGUGAAAGCCCCGGGCUCAACCUGGGAACGGCAUCCGGAACUGUCAAGCUAGAGUGCAGGAGAGGAAGGUAGAAUUCCCGGUGUAGCGGUUAAAUGCGUAGAGAUCGGGAGGAAUACCAGUGGCGAAGGCGGCCUUCUGGACUGACACUGACACUGAGGUGCGAAAUCGUGGGUAGCAAACAGGAUUAGAUACCCCAGUAGUC
rnacentral:rRNA from 1 species